AGUGAACGCUGGCGGUAGGCCUAACACAUGCAAGUCGAACGGCAGCACAGUAAGAGCUUGCUCUUACGGGUGGCGAGUGGCGGACGGGUGAGGAAUACAUCGGAAUCUACUUUUUCGUGGGGGAUAACGUAGGGAAACUUACGCUAAUACCGCAUACGACCUACGGGUGAAAGCAGGGGAUCUUCGGACCUUGCGCGAUUGAAUGAGCCGAUGUCGGAUUAGCUAGUUGGCGGGGUAAAGGCCCACCAAGGCGACGGUCCGUAGCUGGUCUGAGAGGAUGAUCAGCCACACUGGAACUGAGACACGGUCCAGACUCCUACGGGAGGCAGCAGUGGGGAAUAUUGGACAAAGGGCGCAAGCCUGAUCCAGCCAUACCGCGUGGGUGAAGAAGGCCUUCGGGAUGUAAAGCCCUUUUGUUGGGAAAGAAAAGCAGCAGGUUAAUACCCCGCUGUUCUGACGGUACCCAAAGAAUAAGCACCGGCUAACUUCGUG
rnacentral:rRNA from 1 species